rnacentral:lncRNA from 1 species
GCCAAAGACUGCAAACACAGGGCCCCAAGGGCGAUCCUUGAACGUAAUGUAUGCACAAACUAAUUUAUGGCAACGGAGCAAAUGAGUGAGGGCGGAUUGUGCAGUAUUGGAGACAGGCACGUCCAGGAGAGAGGGGAACGCGCGCGGCCCUCGCAGGGCCGGCAGCCCUGAUCACAAGCCUCGCCAGCUUUGACCAGCGCCCGCAGGCUGCAUCGGAAGCAUCUGGAGAAAUAUUUGAUGGAACACCCCGUAAUUAGAUGGACUGGCUUAAUUAGGAGAAGUUUGCGGGCAGAGGGAAGCCGGGGGGUCUGUGCUGGGAUCUGAAGGUUUGCAGCCUCGUCCCAGGAGGCCCGGGGCACAAAGCUCUGCCCGCUGAGCGCGCACGCGCUGCUGUGUCUGCACAUCCAAGGCGGCCCCGUGGGGUCUGCGAAUCCAAGCUGGGGGCCAGGGGCCUGCCCCCCGGCAACAGCAUUGCCAAAACGACAGCAGCCACGCUGCAUCAUCCGAUGCCCCCACCGCGCGUGUAGUCUAACAAGGCGGACAGGAUGAAAACUCGAUGCAGUCGCCCUGUGGAAGCUGGCUGUGGGAGGCAUUUUUCUGAGACUGGGAAGAGGAUUCUAGGUAUUGUGGCUUGAGCACGCACAAUAUGAGGGAAGAAUCGGACGGAACGUUUCCACCAUCUGGAACCACAGCAGCCAGAAGCAGAAAGGAGAGAUAAAUGCAGGACAGAGACAUGAUGAAAAAACAAACUUCAGAGACAACCCAAAUUCUCCAAUCUGUUGAAAAAGUUCUGGAGGUGAUGGUGGUGAUGAUUGCACAACAAUGUGACGGCACUGAAUGCCACUGAACUGUACACUCAAAAAAGUUAAGAUGGUAAAGUUUAUGUUUUACAUUUUACCACAAUAAAAACAUGAAAAAC